CACAGUUUAUGUAAUAUAUAAAUAAAAUAUAUUAGAAUUUGGCCUAACUUUUUAGUUUUAUUUAUUUUUUAUAUUUUUUAGCUAUUUUACGCCCUCAGUUAAGAACCACUGGGCGUUUCUAGGUGGUUGCCAGGGUGUUGCUAUGCAGUUGCUAGGCUUAGGGUUUGGGUUUCUUUCUCUCUGGCAUAAAAAUAGUCCUACGUCCUCAGGUUUCUGUGAUGUUUUAGAGUCUAGAUGCUUUCUUCGACUGAAGUUUUGCGUUACAGUAACUGUGUGUGUAUUUUCGCCGUCGUUGUGCUUCACACACUCAUGACUGUCUGUGUUUAACAAGCACACACACUUACUUUCAAACUGAAAUGAAAUAAAUGCUAUAAUUAUGAGCACAGGAUGUAGCUGGAGGAAAUGUACAGGUUCCUGGUAAACUUUACAAGCUCCUAGACUAAUUAUAGUGUGUGUGUGUGUGUGUGUGUCCUUCAGACCUGCCCUUGCUACUCCUGGUAUUCUUAUGCACGCACACACACACACACACACACACACACAAAGAUAUAUUCAUACAGCUCGUUCUCUUCAUAAACACUCAAAGCUCCCCAUGUGUGCAGCAGUGGAAACUUCUGACAGCUCGCUGUAAACACAUACCCCCUCCACACACACACACACACACACACACACACACACACUCACACUGAUGUCAUCCUGAAGGCAGCGGCAGAAUGAAUUGCCCUCAGCGUUGCGCGCACACACUCACCUGACGCGCGCGCCCGCUCUCCAGACGCGGACUCCUGCGCGGAGCAAGCGAGUCGUCUCCACGAGAGACUGGCAUGAGAUUCGGAGUGGAGAGACUGCAGAGAGCGUGAUCCGAUGUGUGUUUAUGAUGGACGUGACGCUGUUCUUGUCUCUCGUUUGUGUUUGCGCAGCUGCGGGUUCGAACACACUCAGCUCAUCUGGACCGCUGCUUCUGUCUGAUGCAUUGUGUCAGUAUGGAUGGACGAGAACCUUAAAGGGCCAGUGCAGACGUAAGCAAACACUCACACACAGCCCAUGUUUACAACACUAUGUAGCAAAGAAGAAUAAAGCAUGACAGUAUGCAACAGUUUUAAUCAAAUUGGUGUAAUCAGGCUGAGCUUUUGACAGGAAUAGAAAGCUAAGCGCUGCAUUCGUUGCACUGGGAUGCAAUAUUUCAUGCAGUUGCAUGGGGUUGUUGUCUUAAUUUUACUUUUAGUUCAGUUUUAGUUUUUAUUUAUUUUCAAUUAGUGAUUUUUUUCUUCAUCGUUUAUAUAUUUUACUUAUAGAUUAUUAUAUAUACUAGUUUUUAUUGAUACUUUGAAAUAGCUUUUUUAUGUGUUUAAUCUUAUUUUUUAAUUUUAGUUAAAUUAUUAUAAAGUAUUUUUAUCAUGUGC
ensembl:lncRNA